rnacentral:lncRNA from 1 species
AGUCCCCGCCCAUCGUAGCCAUGUUUACGGAGGCCUGGGCCUACAGGUUCUCCCUCUUUUCCACCGCGCCCACGUCCGCGGGCACUCCGACCGAGCCUCCAGGAGUAGUAGCUCAGAAGCACUUUUGUAACAUACUGUUAUCCCUCAAGAACGUGUACGCGCAGGGGCGUUUCCUUGUCCGUUAAUAACACAAGCUACAGGCCGAGCGUGGUGGCUCACACCUGU